rnacentral:rRNA from 1 species
CGGCGGACGGGUGAGUAACGCGUGGGUAACCUACCCUGUACACACGGAUAAUAUACCGAAAGGUAUGCUAAUACGGGAUAAUAUAUUUGAGAGGCAUCUCUUGAAUAUCAAAGGUGAGCCAGUACAGGAUGGACCCGCGUCUGAUUAGCUAGUUGGUAAGGUAACGGCUUACCAAGGCGACGAUCAGUAGCCGACCUGAGAGGGUGAUCGGCCACAUUGGAACUGAGACACGGUCCAA